rnacentral:lncRNA from 1 species
UUUUCUUUCUUGUCUAUGCUACAGUAGGGCAAGAUUUUAGAAUCAACAACGUCAUCUCCUUGGACCUGACCUGUAAACAUUUAAGUCAGCGUAUCUUAUGCAAACCAAGGUUGAAUUCCAAAUCUAAGUAAAUCUGUGUGAAGUUUCUUCUUCUGUGCAUAAAUUACUUGUUUCUUCUCAUGUGCAUAAAUGUUUUUUAAUUUUCUUUCGUAUUUUUUUCGUGAUAAAUCAAUAACAUCGUAUUUUUUUUGUACGUUUUUUCCUUUUCUCAAUAUUUUCCUGAAACCAACAAAAUAUAAUAAACACUUCUGCUAGGGAUGUAAAAACCCUAACCUUGCUGGUCUGCAGUGGCCUUAGGUGAAAUAAUAAAAAGUCUACGCGAAAGACGCAACUGCCGACCGACCAAUUGAAAUGACUCAACUCUCGAACAAGAUGAUGCAGAUGACAACGAUGCCGGCGAAAUCAAUGGCUUCCGUGACGAAGAAGCGAAGAGGCGC